AGCUAUUACUACUUAUGCUAACAAAUUUUCCAACACAAAGGAAUUGGUAUCAAGCUAUGAAUUAAAACAUAUUUUGUUUUCAUUGAGGUUACUUUUGGAGACUUCGAUGAUACUAAAUAAUAUGAUAAUGGUUACGUAAUAGAAGAAACUGACUCGCGGUUUUGUUGGUGCAGGGGUCUACCGUUAUGGUUACAUGAUAUU
rnacentral:misc_RNA from 1 species